UACGUAGGGUGCAAGCGUUGUCCGGAAUUAUUGGGCGUAAAGAGCGUGUAGGCGGCCAGGUAGGUCUGCUGUGAAAACUCGAGGCUUAACCUCGAGAUGUCGGUGGAAACCAUCUGGCUAGAGUCCGGAAGAGGAGAGUGGAAUUCCUGGUGUAGCGGUGAAAUGCGCAGAUAUCAGGAAGAACACCCGUGGCGAAGGCGGCUCUCUGGGACGGUACUGACGCUGAGACGCGAAAGCGUGGGGAGCGAACAGG
rnacentral:rRNA from 1 species